GAGGAUAUACCUCAGUGGUAGAGUGCAUGCCUAAUGUGCCCGAGGUCCUGGGUUCGAUCCCCAGUACCUCCA
rnacentral:tRNA from 1 species